GCCCGAAGGGCGAGGCGAAGGCGAGUCAUCCUGCACGACCCACCAAUUUCAGCAUUUAACUCAGAUGCUGAACGUGAAGGAUAACGUUGCGACAGCAACGGCCCGAAGGGCGAGGCGAAGUCGAGUCAUCCUGCACGACCCACCA
rnacentral:sRNA from 1 species